UGAUUGGUGCUUGCAUCAUGAUUUACAUUUGAGUGAGUGGCGAACUGGUGAGUAACACGUGGGAAACCUGCCCAGAAGCGGGGGAUAACACCUGGAAACAGAUGCUAAUACCGCAUAACAACUUGGACCGCAUGGUCCGAGUUUGAAAGAUGGCUUCGGCUAUCACUUUUGGAUGGUCCCGCGGCGUAUUAGCUAGAUGGUGGGGUAACGGCUCACCAUGGCAAUGAUACGUAGCCGACCUGAGAGGGUAAUCGGCCACAUUGGGACUGAGACACGGCCCAAACUCCUACGGGAGGCAGCAGUAGGGAAUCUUCCACAAUGGACGAAAGUCUGAUGGAGCAACGCCGCGUGAGUGAAGAAGGGUUUCGGCUCGUAAAACUCUGUUGUUAAAGAAGAACAUAUCUGAGAGUAACUGUUCAGGUAUUGACGGUAUUUAACCAGAAAGCCACGGCUAACUACGUGCCAGCAGCCGCGGUAAUACGUAGGUGGCAAGCGUUGUCCGGAUUUAUUGGGCGUAAAGCGAGCGCAGGCGGUUUUUUAAGUCUGAUGUGAAAGCCUUCGGCUCAACCGAAGAAGUGCAUCGGAAACUGGGAAACUUGAGUGCAGAAGAGGACAGUGGAACUCCAUGUGUAGCGGUGAAAUGCGUAGAUAUAUGGAAGAACACCAGUGGCGAAGGCGGCUGUCUGGUCUGUAACUGACGCUGAGGCUCGAAAGUAUGGGUAGCAAACAGGAUUAGAUACCCUGGUAGUCCAUACCGUAAACGAUGAAUGCUAAGUGUUGGAGGGUUUCCGCCCUUCAGUGCUGCAGCUAACGCAUUAAGCAUUCCGCCUGGGGAGUACGGCCGCAAGGCUGAAACUCAAAGGAAUUGACGGGGGCCCGCACAAGCGGUGGAGCAUGUGGUUUAAUUCGAAGCUACGCGAAGAACCUUACCAGGUCUUGACAUACUAUGCAAAUCUAAGAGAUUAGACGUUCCCUUCGGGGACAUGGAUACAGGUGGUGCAUGGUUGUCGUCAGCUCGUGUCGUGAGAUGUUGGGUUAAGUCCCGCAACGAGCGCAACCCUUAUUAUCAGUUGCCAGCAUUAAGUUGGGCACUCUGGUGAGACUGCCGGUGACAAACCGGAGGAAGGUGGGGAUGACGUCAAAUCAUCAUGCCCCUUAUGACCUGGGCUACACACGUGCUACAAUGGAUGGUACAACGAGUUGCGAACUCGCGAGAGUAAGCUAAUCUCUUAAAGCCAUUCUCAGUUCGGAUUGUAGGCUGCAACUCGCCUACAUGAAGUCGGAAUCGCUAGUAAUCGCGGAUCAGCAUGCCGCGGUGAAUACGUUCCCGGGCCUUGUACACACCGCCCGUCACACCAUGAGAGUUUGUAACACCCAAAGUCGGUGGGGUAACCUUUUAG
rnacentral:rRNA from 2 species